rnacentral:rRNA from 1 species
UACGGAGGGUGCGAGCGUUGUCCGGAAUCACUGGGCGUAAAGGGCGUGUAGGUGGCCUGUGGAAGUCUGCGGUGAAAGCCCGGCGCUCAACGCCGGGUCGGCCGUGGAUACUCUCGGGCUUGAGCUUACUAGAGGCAGAUGGAAUUCCGGGUGUAGCGGUGGAAUGCGUAGAUAUCGUAAGGAAGACCAGUGGCGAAGGCGGGUCUCUGGACAGUUCCUGACGCUGAGGCACGAAGGUCAGGGGAGCAAACGGG